rnacentral:misc_RNA from 1 species
UGCAGGAGCGGGCUUGCUCGCGAUUCGGUCGCCGCGGUUUGAUUGACCGACCGCAGCGACCGAAUCGCGAGCAAGCCCGCUCCCACA